GUGGUUAUGGGGGUCCCUCACUGAUCCUAUAUUCAUGGGGUGGCUGUGGGGGGUCCCUCAGUGAUCCCAUAUUUAUAGGGUGGGGGUUAUAGGGCUCCCUCCGUGUCCCCAUAUGUAUGGGGUGGUUAUGGGGUUUCCUUGGCUGCCCCCAUAUCUAUGGGGGGGGGGGUUGUGGGGUGCCCCUCAUUGACCCCAUAUCUAUGGGAUGGUAGUUAUGGGGUGUCCUUCAGUGCCCCCAUACCUAUGGGGUGGAUGGGGUGGCUGUGGGGGGUCCCUCAGUGACCCCAUAUUUAUAGGGUGGGGGUUCUGGGGGUCCCUCAGGAUCCCCAUAUCUAUGGGGUGGUUAUGGGGUGUCCCUCAUUGCCCCCAUAUCUAUGGGGUGGGGGUUUUGGGGUCUCUCAGUGUCCCCAUAUCUAUGGGAUGGUAGUUAUGGGGUGUCCUUCAGUGCCCCCAUAUCUAUGAGGUGGCUGUGGGGAGUCCCUCAGUGACCCAAUAUUUAUAGGGUGGGGGUUCUGGGGGUCUCUCAGCAUCCCCAUAUCUAUGGGGCGGGGGUUAUGGGGUGCCCCUCAUUGACCCCAUAUGUAUGGGGUGUUUAUGGGGUUUCCUUCACUGCCCCCAUGUCUAUGGGGUGGGGGCUAUGGGGUCCCUCAUUGACCCCAUAUCUAUGGGGUGGUUAUGGGGUUUCCUUCACUGCCCCCAUAUCUAUGCGGUGGGGGUUUUGGGGUCCCUCAUUGACCCCAUAUGUAUGGGGUGGUUAUGGGGUGCCCCUCAUUGACCCCAUAUGUAUGGGGUGGUUAUGGGGUGUCCCUCAUUGACCCCAUAUGUAUGGGGUGGUUAUGGGGUGCCCCUCACCGCCCCCUAUGUUUGGGGUGCUGUUGUGGGGUUUUGUUUGCGAUCCCACAUUUGUGGGGUUUCCCCGCAGGAACUCGGAGUCGGUGACGUAUUUCUGGCAGAACUGGAACAUCCCCGUGCACAAGUGGUGCCUCAGGCACUUCUACAAGCCGAUGCUGAAGCGCGGUGUGAGCAAAUGGACGGCGCAGACCGCCGUGUUUCUGGCCUCCGCCUUCUUCCACGAGUAUUUGGUCAGCGUGCCGCUGAAGAUGUUCCGGCUCUGGGCCUUCAUGGGGAUGGCAGCGCAGGUACGGAAAUUUGCGUCCAUAUUACGGCCCUAUAACGGCCCCAUAGUGACCCUAUAAUGACCCCAUAGUGGCCCUAUAAUGGCCCCAUAUUGACCCUACAGCAGCCCUAUAACGGCCCCAUAAUGGCACCAUAGUGAACCCAUUCUGGCCCUAUAAUGGCCCCAUUGAGUCCCCAUGAUGGUCCUAUAAUGGCCCCAUAAUGACCCCUAAUGGCCCCAUAGUGGCCGUAUGAUGGCCCCAUAGUGACCCCAUAAUGACCCUAUAAUGGCCCUAUAAUGACCUUACAAUGGCCCCAUAGUGGCCCUAUAAUGGCCCUAUAACGACCCCGUAAUAUCCCUAUAAUGGCCCUAUAACGGCCCCAUAAUGAUCCUAUAAUGGACCCAUUGUGUCCCCAUAUUGACCCCAUAAUGACUCCAUAGUGGUCCUAUAAUGGCCCCAUAUUGACCCUACAACGGCCCUAUAACGGCCCCAUAAUGGCACCAUAGUGACCCCAUUCUGGCCCCAUUGUGUCCCCAUAAUGACCCUAUAAUGACCCUACUGUGUCCCAAUAAUGACCCCAUAAUGACCCCAUUGUGUCCCCAUAACAGCUUCAUUCUGGCCCUAUAAUGGUCCCAUUGAGUCCCCAUGAUGGUCCUAUAAUGGCCCCAUAAUGACCCUGUAAUGACCCCAUAAUGGCCCUAUCAUGGCCCCAUUGUGUCCCCAUAAUGUCCCCAUAAUGACCUCAUAAUGGCUCCAUAGCGGCCCCAUAAUGACCCUACAAUGGCCCCAUAGUGACCCCAUAAUGACCCUAUAAUGGCCCCAUAAUGAACUUACAAUGGCCCCAUAGUGGCCCUAUAAUGGCCCUAUAACGACCCCAUAAUAUCCCUAUAAUGGCCCCAUAACGGCCCCAUAAUGGCCCCAUUCUGGCCCCACUGUGUCCCCAUAACAGCUUCAUUGUGUCCCCAUAAUGACCCCAUUGUGUCCCCAUAACAGCUUCAUUCUGACCCCAUUAUGGCCCCAUUGAGUCCCCAUAAUGGUCCCAUAAUGGUCCCAUAA
ensembl:lncRNA